GUUUGGGACAACUACCGGAAACGGUAGCUAAUACCGAAUAAUUGUUUUCUUCGCCUGAAGGAAACUGGAAAGACGGAGCAAUCUGUCACUUGGGGAUGGGCCUGCGGCGCAUUAGCUAGUUGGUGAGGUAACGGCUCACCAAGGCGACGAUGCGUAGCCGACCUGAGAGGGUGAUCGGCCACACUGGGACUGAGACACGGCCCAGACUCCUACGGGAGGCAGCAGUAGGGAAUCUUCCGCAAUGGGCGAAAGCCUGACGGAGCAAUGCCGCGUGAGUGAUGAAGGUUUUCGGAUCGUAAAGCUCUGUUGCCAGGGAAGAACGCUUGGGAGAGUAACUGCUCUCAAGGUGACGGUACCUGAGAAGAAAGCCCCGGCUAACUACGUGCCAGCAGCCGCGGUAAUACGUAGGGGGCAAGCGUUGUCCGGAAUUAUUGGGCGUAAAGCGCGCGCAGGCGGUCAUUUAAGUCUGGUGUUUAAUCCCGGGGCUCAACCCCGGAUCG
rnacentral:rRNA from 1 species